rnacentral:rRNA from 1 species
UACAGAGGGGGCAAGCGUUGUUCGGAAUUACUGGGCGUAAAGGGCGCGUAGGCGGCCUGCUAAGUCGAACGUGAAGUCCCUGGGCUCAACCCAGGAACUGCGUCCGAUACUGGUUGGCUUGAAUCCGGGAGAGGGAUGUGGAAUUCCAGGUGUGGCGGUGAAAUGCGUAGAUAUCUGGAGGAACACCGGUGGCGAAGGCGACAUCCUGGACCGGCAUUGACGCUGAGGCGCGAAAGCCAGGGGAGCAAACGGG